rnacentral:rRNA from 1 species
GGGUGAGUAAUAUCUAGGAACAUCCUUGUAGUGGGGCAUAUGCCACCGAAAGGUGGUGCAAUUCCCCAUGUGAUCGCAAGAUCAAAGAUGCAAAUCGCUACGGGCAUGGCCUGGACCCCAUCAGCUAGUUGGUAAGGUAAUGGCUUACCAAGGCUAUGACGGGUAGGGGUCCCGAGAGGGAUAACCCCCACACUGGAACUGCGACACGGUCCAGACUCCUACGGGAGGCAGCAGUUUGGAAUUUUGGACAAUGGGCGAAAGCCUGAUCCAGCGACGCCGCGUGGACGAUGAAGGCCUUCGGGUUGUAAAGUCCUUUUGCAAGAGAAGAAUUUUUGACGGUAUCUUGCGAAUAAGAGGUUGCUAACUCUGUGCCAGCAGCAGCGGUAAUACAGAGACCUCGAGCGUUAUCCGGAAUCAUUGGGCGUAAAGCGUACCGACAGGUGGUUGUAUAAGUCAGAAGUGAAAUCUCCGAGCUCAACUCGGAAUCUGUCUUUUGAAACUAUACAACUAGAGGGGCAAAGAGGAAGCUGGAACAAACGGUGUAGUAGUGAAAUGCGUUGAUAUCGUUUGGAACACCAAUAGCGUAGGCAGGCUUCUGGGUGCCACCUGACACUGCUAGGACGAAAGCGUGGGGAGCGAAUGGGAUUAGAUACCCCAGUAGUCCAUGCUGUAAACGACGCACGUUAGGUGCUAGGGAGUAUCGACCCUCUUUAGUGCCACAGCUAACGCGUUAAACGUGCCGCCUGGGGAGUACGGCCGCAAGGCUAAAGCUCAAAGGAAUUGACGGGGACCUGCACAAGUGGUGGAGCAUGUGGUUUAAUUCGACGGUAAGCGAGGAACCUUACCAAGGCUUGACAUGUACCUGCAUACUGGAGAAAUUCAGUAGCCUUCGAGGGUGGUACACAGGUGCUGCACGGUUGUCGUCAGCUCGUGCCGUGAGGUGUUCACUUAAGUGUGAAAACGAGCGCAACCCCUAUCAUCAGUUACAAGUGUCUGAUGAAACUGCCGGCGUUUAAGCCGGAGGAAGGCGGGGAUGACGUCAAAUCAGCGUGGCUCUUACGCCUUGGGCGACACACGUGCUACAAUGGGUUGGCACAAAGGGAUGCCAAAUCGCAAGAUGGAGCAAAUCCUAAAAAAACAACCCCCAGUUCGGAUCGAGGGCUGCAACUCGCCCUCGUGAAGCCGGAAUCACUAGUAACCGUAGAUCAGCCUCGCUACGGUGAAU